GCUUGUCUCAAAGAUUAAGCCAUGCAUGUCUUAGUGUAAAUAACUCUUAUGAAACUGCGAAUGGCUCAUUAAAUCAGUUAUCGUUUAUUUGAUGGUCCCUUACUACAUGGAUAACCGUAGUAAUUCUAGAGCUAAUACAUGCACAAAGGCCCGACUCACGAAGGGCUGUAUUUAUUAGAUAAAAACCAAUGCCUCGUGCUUUUGGUGAGUCAUGAUAACUGCGCGGAUCGCAUGGCCUUGCGCCGGCGACGCUUCAUUCAAAUUUCUGCCCUAUCAACUUUCGAUGGUAAGAUAGAGGCUUACCAUGGUGUUAACGGGUAACGGGGAAUUGGGGUUCGAUUCCGGAGAGGGAGCCUGAGAAAUGGCUACCACUUCCAAGGAAGGCAGCAGG
rnacentral:rRNA from 1 species